UAAUAUCCUUGCACAAAUCUCGUGUAGGCCGCAGGUCAACGUUGUUUUUCAUGCCAGAACGACUAGCAUAGCCUCAAUUAAUUAAGUUGAACACAGGGAGAGGAGCGAUGCGCCUGACCUCACGUUGAAGAUGACGCGCCAUAACGAAAGAGACAUGGAGAAAGAGAGAGGAUGACCUUGACUUUUACACAAUGGAUUAUGAAGGAGGGUGUUUGUGUGGAGUACAGAGAAAGCAGAGCCAAGGGCACCAUUAAUGUUGCUGGGUUCUGCUGCAAGGCCCACAUUGAGCUGUGGAAGAAGCAACAACGAACAAGGAAAUUCAAGAUUGUGGCGAGAGAUGAGACAGAGGAAUAGCAUGGCAAUUGUGAGUGUUAUGGAUGCAUGGAUCUGUGGGUAGAAACUUGGGAGUGGUGUUAUCCUUCGGAAAUUAGAGAUGCUCAUUAGUAAUUC